rnacentral:rRNA from 1 species
CUCUUUUUCUUCUUUCUCCUCCCUAACGCUGGCGGCAGGCUUAACACAUGCAAGUCGAGCGCCCCGCAAGGGGAGCGGCAGACGGGUGAGUAACGCGUGGGAAUCUACCUAUAAGACUGGGAUAACUUCGGGAAACCGGAGCUAAUGCCGGAUAACAUUUGGAACCGCAUGGUUCUAAAGUGAAAGAUGGUUUUGCUAUCACUUAUAGAUGGACCCGCGCCGUAUUAGCUAGUUGGUAAGGUAACGGCUUACCAAGGCGACGAUACGUAGCCGACCUGAGAGGGUGAUCGGCCACACUGGAACUGAGACACGGUCCAGACUCCUACGGGAGGCAGCAGUAGGGAAUCUUCCGCAAUGGGCGAAAGCCUGACGGAGCAACGCCGCGUGAGUGAUGAAGGGUUUCGGCUCGUAAAACUCUGUUAUUAGGGAAGAACAAAUGUGUAAGUAACUGUGCACAUCUUGACGGUACCUAAUCAGAAAGCCACGGCUAACUACGUGCCAGCAGCCGCGGUAAUAC